GACGAACGCUGGCGGCGUGCUUAACACAUGCAAGUCGAACGGAAAGGCCCUGCUUGCAGGGUACUCGAGUGGCGAACGGGUGAGUAACACGUGGGUGAUCUGCCCUGCACUUCGGGAUAAGCCUGGGAAACUGGGUCUAAUACCGGAUAGGAGCCAUUUUUAGUGUGAUGGUUGGAAAGUUUUUUCGGUGUAGGAUGAGCUCGCGGCCUAUCAGCUUGUUGGUGGGGUAAUGGGCUACCAAGGCGGCGACGGGUAGCCGGCCUGAGAGGGUGGACGGCCACAUUGGGACUGAGAUACGGCCCAGACUCCUAAGGGAGGCAGAAGUGGGGAAUAUUGCACAAUGGGCGCAAGCCUGAUGCAGCGACGCCGCGUGGGGGAUGACGGCCUUCGGGUUGUAAACUCCUUUCGCUAGGGACGAAGCUUUUUGUGACGGUACCUAGAUAAGAAGCACCGGCUAACUACGUG
rnacentral:rRNA from 1 species